AAAGGAAAAUCCAACAAAGGAAAAAAUUGGUGUAGUGAUGAGGACAAGGUUCUCAUAGCAGCAUGGGCAAAUACAAGUUUGGAUAUUGUUGGGACUGAUCAAAACCGAGAUGCUUAUUGGGCUAGAAUUUCAGAGUACUACAACACACACAAGGAAUCGUCAUGGCCGGAGCGUAAUCCUAAUGCAAUCAAUUGCCGUUACACAUUGAUUAACAGAGAGACCUCCAAAUUUUGUGGUUGCCUUCAGCAGAUUUUAAAUAAGGAAGAAAGUGGAAGGACUAUAGCAGAAAAGACAAACGAUGCACACAUUCUGUUCAAGGAAAUGGAUGU